rnacentral:lncRNA from 1 species
AAAUUAUUUAAAUGCCUUCUAACAUUUUUCUUGGCUAUAUCACAUCUUUUUAAAAUUUUUUUUAUAGUUGUAAAUGGACAGAAUGUCUUUAUUUUAUUUGUUUAUUUUCAUGUGGUGCUAAGGAUUGAACCCAGAGCCUCACACAUGCAAGGCAAGUGCUCUGCCACUGAGCUAUAGCCCCAGCCUGCUAUAUCAUAUCUUUUGCAAAAUAUUGAAAAAUCAGAGAAGUGAAAUAGUUAGCCAUAUGGUAAAUAUUGGGUUUGUUGAACUAAGUGAGACCUUUGGUUGAUUUAUUCAGUAUAUGUAAACAGUGUGGCCACUUAGACUUCCAAGGACAUUCAUGGGUUGCCUGCAGUAUGUCCAACUGUACACAAAAAAGAGUUUGUCUCUUAGGUGCCUACUUGACUGCCUAUGUCCAAGAUAGUGUUCAAACGCCAAGUAUAUUGUUCACAUAGAAUAAAUACAUUAAAAUCUCAAAAAUUAUGUCCAUAUAGUAUUUUAUCAUGAGAAAUAGAACUUGUAAAAGAUCUAUUUAAGAUCAUCCUAUUUAAGUAAAGAUUCGAGAAACAUAGCUGGAUAUACUUGUAAUCCUAGAUACUCAGUAGACUGAGGCAGGAAGAUUACAAGUUUAAGGCCAGCCUGGGCAAUUUAGCAAGCCCAUUAAAAAAAAAAAAGUUGGGGGGGCACUUAGUGAUGGAGCACUUGCCUAGCAUGUGUGGGGCUCUUGGUUCAAUCCUUAGCACCACAAAUGGGGAAAAAUGGUAAAAUAUUGUUGCAAACACAAAAAUGGUAAGGAUUAAGAUGGAGGAUGAUUUAUAAACUUAGUGAGAAUGGUUUUAAUGUAAUAAUGUGAAGGUCAAAAGCCAGAUUAUAGUGGGUUAAAGAAUGAAUGGGAGAAAACAGAUGAAUGAAACAACUUUCAUGAAGUUUGGUACUGGUUAUUUAGGAGAGUCAGGACAUGGCAAUAGUUUCUUGUAGUUAUUAAAGGAGAUGUUUAAAAAGUAUCUUUAUUACAUAAUAACUGCCAUAAAGGAGACAUGUACAAAUACUUGAAGGUACUUAGGUGAAGGGCAUUAAUAUACCUGCAAUAGUCUGGGAAGGAUUACCUGAAGUACUCAGACUUAACAUUGGACUAAGAGUUUGGGCAGAUGGACAAGGGGAGGAGGAUACUUUUGAUUUGGAGAAAGAUAAGAGUUUGUGAAUUAUUGUAACAUGUUUGAGGAAAUUUUUUUUGGGGGGUGUACCGAGGAUUUAACUCUGGGGCACUCAACCACUGAGCCACAUCCCCAGCCCUGUUUUAUAUUUUAUUUAGACAGGAUGUCACUGAAUUUUUUAGCACCUCGCCUUUAUUGAGGCUGACUUUAAAUUUGUAAUCCUCCUACCUCAGCCUCCCCAGCCGCUGGGAUUGUAGGCAUGCGCCACCAUGCCUGGCCCUGUUUGAGAGCAUUUUAUGGUGAAUUGGUGACAUUAGAGCGUAAUGCACAAAGCUCACUAGGUUUGUUAAGCUUGGAAAGUGGUCAGGGCCGAAAACAUGGCUGAGAGUGCCUGUGGGCCAUAGAAUUUUAACUUUUAUCCCGUAGGUCUUUGCUUCCCACUGGGAAGAUUUGUGUUGGUGUGCCAGGGGUACUCAGGAUAAC